UACGUAGGGCGCAAGCGUUGUCCGGAAUUAUUGGGCGUAAAGAGCUCGUAGGCGGCUUGUCGCGUCGGUUGUGAAAGCCCGGGGCUUAACCCCGGGUCUGCAGUCGAUACGGGCAGGCUAGAGUGUGGUAGGGGAGAUCGGAAUUCCUGGUGUAGCGGUGAAAUGCGCAGAUAUCAGGAGGAACACCGGUGGCGAAGGCGGGUCUCUGGGCCGUAACUGACGCUGAGGAGCGAAAGCGUGGGGAGCGAACAGG
rnacentral:rRNA from 1 species